AUACGUGAAGAGGAUAAAGAUCCAGUAUAUAAAUAUUUGGAGAGCAUGAUGACAUGUGCACGUGUAAGGGAGUUCAACAGCAAACCUCCUCCUGAAGUCACCAUAGAACCUAAAAUCCUUCCUACUCCGUCAACAAUAAACACUACAACAAACCUGCAGAAAACCACUCAAAAGCUUCCAAUAAAAGUCCACAACCCGACAACUACUGCUAACAAAGCAGAAAAAACACCACAGGAAACCACAUCCAGUGAUCCACAAGACAAGACAAAAACCACAUCCAGUGAUCCACAAGCCAAGACAAAAAUAGAGAUCCAGUCAGGCUGCCAGUGGAAGAAGGAUCACAAAAUGGUCCUUGAAGCUUUGUGUCAGCGCCUAAAAGAGAACAGGCUUACUCGGCGCUUCUAUGUAGGGCCUUACUGCGUCAGCCCAGUUGCCAGGAUCUUUAUGCGGAAGUCCAGCGGCUCCACCAUCACCUACAGGGUACUCAUCAAUAAGCCAUUAAAAUGUAGUGAUAAUGAUGAGGAUGAAUGUGAUGACAGUGAUGAGGAAAAGGAUGCCACUAAAAGCUGUGACAGGAAUGCUGAUGAAGGGGAGGAAGAGGACCAAACAGAACUGCCUAGGAUGCAGUUUGGAAUCACACCUUUCCUGAGCGGAGUGUUACCUGCUGGCAGACUGAGAGCCAGGAGGAAACCUGCUGGCUGCCAAGCAUCUGGACUGAUACAGGUAAAGUGAUGUUGCUUAAUUCAUACAAAAAAUUAAACUCUAAACUGGUUUGUGAAGUGUAUUGAUGUAUUUCUGUCCUCACAGGUUAAUGGCAAAUGCUACAAUCAGGCCAGGCUGUUGCUUGGAAACAUGGGAUCUCUGCAUCCAGCCAACCGCCUUGCAGCCCAUGUCACAGGCCGGCUAAAUGUGCCAGGUGAAAGUUCCGAUAAAAACUUGCAGAAAGCCUCUGAAGCUGCAGUCAAACCCAACAUUAUUGGAAGUCUUCACUUUAAAGCUGCAGGUGGAGGAGACCCUACUACAAAGAAAACAGAUGAUGUGAAUACACCUGCACAACCAACAGUUCAGUUUUUCCAGCCAUUUUCUUGGAGAAGUCGGACCAUUACCUCGCCACAGCUUUCACAAAACUCCACUGUCGACAACCAAUCAUUUUUCUCACGCCAGUCCAGCUCAGCCAGCUCCGUCCUGAACAGCUCCACGUCCUCUCCAGUUGUUCUCACUGUAUCCCCGUCACUGAAAAGUCCCAGCUUCUUGGGGCAGAGUGGAACUUAUUCAUUUAGGAUCUGUCCACCAUCCAACCAGGGUACCAAAGACCAGAAGCUGCCCGGUGUUUCUCUGCCAGGGGGCUUCAUGCUCAUUCACCUCCCAAAACCUGGGGAGGGUGGAGCUGCACAGCAGUCAGCACCUCUAAAUAUGACAAGCGAGGCCAGCAGAGCUGACGCCACCAUACGGAAAGAUGGCAUGUUAACUUUUAGCCGCUUAGCAGCUGAAUGGCUCGGUGUGGACUCCCUUAAAGACGCACGGAGCUUAAAGAGAAACAAACCAGCAGAGCCUGGGACUGCCCCCGAGCUGUCCUGUCACAUGAAGAUCCCAUCAGAUGAGAGUGACGAGACCAGCAGCAGGCAGCAGGUAGACUCAAACUUGGAUAUUGCUUCUGAGGACUUGAGCUCUAUGUCCUCAGAUUACAGCGGAGAGGAGUUAGAUGAUGACGAGCUACUGGACAUUGAGACUGUGGAGGAAAGACAAGCAAUGGCCAUUGCAAAAAUGAGGGCAUCAGUUUUGCGCGAUGACUCUGGAUCACCAAGAGACCUCAGUGUCCAGGAGCAACUGGAUGAUGAAGACAAUGACUCAAAGGACAAUGUAAGACGGAAGAACCACACAGAGCUUGAAAGGCUCAGACGCACUGAACAAAAAGUCCGCUUUGACAAGCUCCAGAAACUCCUUCAGUGUGACAUAAGAACCCCCCGGCUCCGUGUCCUUUCAGUGGCCCGACGAGAAAUCCAAAAUCUGGCCAAGACCUCCAAAUGUCUGGAGGAGAAGAAGCAGAUCCUGACUCGGAUGCAGUCUGUCUACGUGGAGAGGCUUUGCCUUUUGUCUGGUAAGUCUGAGAAGCAAAUCAGAAACAAGCUGAAGGAGAUCUAUGAGAAACAGAAAAGCAGAGAGAAGACGAUGAAAUGGACGCCAUUUUUUUCCCAACUGCUCCAAUCCAGAGCUGCACUUCUGCAAGCCUCUGCACCUCCUGAGCCUCCUCCUGCUCCUCCCCUGCUUUCAUCCUUGAUCUUGCCUGAAUAUAAAGCUCCAUCUCAGACUGACAUACCCAUGAUUCCAGCCCAGAGGAAUAUUCACCACAUCCUGUCCCAGCUUAAGCCUCUCCUAGAAAAAGCGUUAAAGUCAGACAACACACCAAAAGCUUCUGGAGCUCCAGACCAGGCCACCAUAUCAACUUCCCAAAAACACAUCCAGCCUCAAGCCCCAACAGACACAGCAACACUUCAGCCCACUGCUGCCCAGUCUCCACAGACCCUAUCUCUUCCUCUAAUUCGCACCAAGAAUGGUAGACUUAUACUCCCCUCGUCAUUGAAACCAGCUGUUCCAGGAUUCUACACACUCAUGGUCAUGCAAUCCAAGCAAAAGGGAGAGGAGGGUGAGGUUAGCUCUUCAGCUACUGUGCAGCCUUCUGAUGUGGACUCCAAGAAUAAAGAAACAGCUCCUUCUGCAUCUGAGCAACCCUCACAUUCAGAGACCAGAUGCAUUUCAGAUGACAAAACUAACCCCUCAGAUUCAGAUCUGAAGCGUUCAAAGGCAAUGAGCCCCCUGGCUGAGAUCGCCGUCCUUAACAGAUCAAUUUCUUUGCGUUCAUCAGAGGCAAAAACUAGAGAGGAACCAGAGAGCAACAAAGAGCCCGGUUUGACCCCAGCGGUGCCAGUUACCUCUCUUAGUGUUGAGUCAGGGUCUCAUCCCAGCCCUGAUGUAGUUAUUCGCCGCAGGGGCCGGCCUCGUAAACACCCCAUUCCCCAAACUGUGGAAAAGCAAGGCAGUGAAACCAGCAAAUCUAUGGUGGGUGAAGAGAGACAAGGUGAGAGAAACACUGUGGAACAGACCCAAACAAAAGCAGAAGCCCCUCUGAGGAGGGUCUCUAGAGAAGGUGAUAACCCUGUGCCUGUCAAACGAGGCAGAGGAAGACCUCCGAAAAACAAGUCGGCACAACCCAAGAGCCCUACGAAGAGAAAAGCUCGAAGUUCGUCCAUAUCUGACGAUGACAGCCCUGCUAGAUUUGCUUGCAGUGUGAGAAGUCCUGCUGCGAGUCAUGUGGGAGACGCUGGAUCAUCAAGGCCUUUGACUCGUGCAUCAUUAGGAAAGGACUUUCCCAGUGCAAAGAAACGGUCCUGGAUCGACGUAGAGAAGGAACUGGAACCUGACGUGGAAUCUGAUUAGUCGUCAUUGAUCUGUUCUGAUCCUGUUGCUUCAAGAUUGACCAUUUGACCUCAGUUAGUCCAACACUGAAAUCUCACACCUCUCUGAUGCAGCAGCGUUACCCUCAAAAGCCUUACAUGGUAACUCAAGGUCAUGUAAGUCUUUGAGCACUUCACCAAAUGUGCCUGUCUGAAAAGCCAAAUGAGCAGGUUCAGUACUUAGAGCUGCUUUUUUUCUAUGAGCAGAAAACUCAGUGGACUUUUUUAUAUUACAGAGGCUGUUCUGUGGGAGUACAGAAUUUAAAAUAGCAUUAAGUGACCUGCUGAAUGUAAGAACGUCUUAGUUUUUGAUAUUGAUGUUUUCUAAAAAAAAAAACGACAUCACUUACAUUCUGAUUUCUUCAUAAAUUGGAUGAAAUUUAUUGAAAUUAUGUUUUGUUUUUAAGUUGCUGAUCCGUCAGAUUUAUGCAAAAACACAAACUACGGGUCUAAUGUGUUGAACCUAAUAGUGGAAGAGAACAUGUAAAUAUAUGAGUAGAACUAAAGAGUUCACAGCUUUAUCUAUUAACCUGUAACCCUGUCAUUUCGAUACGAUAGACUAAUGUCUACAAUCAAUUGGGUUUCUUGGUUUUUUGUUACUAACUCAGUGAAAGUCACAUGUAGUUGCACUUUAAUUUUUUGGUUGAAACCACGUUUGAUGUGUCCAGUUUGCUUUAGCCUGUACAGGAAUGGGGCAUUUUGGGACAUUAAUUGAUCAAUAAUAAUAUUAAUAAUAAAAAUAUAUAAACCCGAUGAGUCUCCAUUAAUCAAGAAACUAAAUAUUAGUCAUAUAUUGUAUCUAUAAAAUAACCUCUGUAAAACACUGGCUGUCUUCAAUCAGAAUGAUUGAUCGUUUAAAGUGAAUAAAAAUCCCCAUGCAUUUAUAAUGGUGCUCUGUGUUCAUGGUUUGGAGAGUUGUUUUUGUGUUUUUUACCUCUGUGC
ensembl:lncRNA